CUUACACUAGUCUAUGUCUAACCCUAAUUUCGAAAUUUCCUCAUGCCAUUCUAGUUCCGCUGUUCCAGUAGGAGAUCGGAGUUAAUCUUCGCAAAAUCACAACUUCGCAAGUUCACCUCUUCGGGCUUCCUGCUUCCGGAUAAGAUUCAUUUGAUUUCCUUCCUGCUUCCACUGGAUUUCCUUCGGAAUUGGGAUCCUUGAUUCCUUGAGUUGAAUCCUUCCAGUCUCCAGAUCCAGAGCCUCCACCGAAGACGACUUCGACCAUCCGCUCAGACGAAGCCUCCGCUUGAAUCCUUCCGCCGUUCGGUCGACAGCACCCAGAUGAAGGCAACCUCACCGCGCGACCUAGAUCUCGGGUCAACCCCGUGACCGCGACCGCCACCUCGCGACCCUCGAGCCCUCUCUGUGUCUGCUCUGUUCCGACUAGCAAAGUGCUGCUUCAGGGUUACUUGUUUCCAUAGGUUCCCACUUGCCUGACCUGGCGGAUGUGUUGGGAAGCCCAGUGGUAAGACCAGCAAACAUAGAGACAACAGCACUGGGAGCAGCCUAUGCUGCUGGACUAGCUGUAGGAGUAUGGACUGAGGAUGAAAUCUUCUCCCAGGAGAAAAUAAAAAACGCCACAAUGAUCCGCCCUGCAAUUGAUGAGGAGCUGAGGAAGAAGAAAUUGCAGUCGUUGGCCAAAGCCAUUGAAAGGACAUUCGACUUGGCCGACCUCUCCCUUUAAAUUCCUUAAUAGAUGUUUCCUUUCUAUAUAUUACGUUACUACAUGAACACUCGAAAUUAGUAAUUAUCUGGUUGUGCAUUGAUAUCUUUUCUUGAAUAAGAAUAUUUCUUGGUGCCC